UUUUUGGGGUACAACCAUAGGAAGUGUGAUCCCCAGACCCUUUUUGGGGUACAACCGUGGGAAAUGGGGUCCCCAGAGCCAUUUUUGGGGUAGAACCAAGAGAAAAGGGGGGGGUUCCCUGCUCCAAUUUGGAGCGUGUCACCAUGCAGACACCGCCAUGUUGUCACCGCCACAUUGUCACCACCACAUUGUCACCAUAGACACUGCCACGUUGUCACUGCCACAUUGUCACCAUAGACACUGCCACAUUGUCACCCCACAGACACCUCCAUGUUGUCACCGCCACGUUGUCACCACGUUAUCACCAGACACCGCCAUGUUGUCACCACCACACUGUCACCAUGCCGACACCGCCACGUUGUCACCAGACACUGCCGUGUUGCCACCAUACGGACACCGCCACGUUGUCACCACCACGUUGUCACCAUACAGACACCGCCAUCUUGUCACCACCAUGCUGUCACCAUACAGACACUGCCAUGUUGUCACCCCAGACGCCACCAUCUUGUCACCGCCACGUUGUCACCACCACGCUGUCACCACCACAUUGUCACCAUACAGACACCACCACAUUGUCACCGCCAUGUUGUCACUGCCACGUUAUCACCACCACGCCGUCACCAUACAGACACCACCACGUUGUCACCACGCUGUCACCAGACACCGCCAUGUUGUCACCGUGCCACGUUGUCACCAUACAGACACCGCCACAUUGUCACCACCAUGUUGACACCAGACACCACCACACUGUCACCGCCACCUUGUCACCAUACAGACACCACCAUGUUGUCACCGCCACGUUGUCACCAUACAGACACCACCAUGUUGUCACCACCACCUUGUCACCAUACAGACACCACCACGUUGUCACCGCCACCUUGUCACCAUACAGACACUGCCAUCUUGUCACCGCCAUCUUGUCACCGCCACAUUGUAACCAUACAGACACCGCCACGUUGUCACCGCCACAUUGUCACCAUACAGACACCACCACGUUGUCACUGCCACAUUGUCACCAUACAGACACCGCCAUCUUGUCACCACCAUUGUCACCAUACAGACACCACCACGUUGUCACCGCCACCUUGUCACCAUACAGACACCGCCAGGUUGUCACCGCCAUGUUGUCACUGCCACAUUGUCACCAUACAGACACCGCCAUCUUGUCACCGCCAUGUUGUCACCGCCAUCUUGUCACUCCCGUUUCAGGGCCGGGGGCCGUUGGCAGCGCCGCCAGCGGCGGUAGUUGAGGAAGAGGAGCGCGGCGUUGACCGCGUAGGUGCUGAGGCAGACGAGGCAGAGGUCGCGGAGGCCGAAGGCCAACACCAGCGCCAGGUACAGCGAGGCCACCACCGACGUCACCGACGUCACCA
rnacentral:lncRNA from 1 species